GUGCCGAUAGCUCAACGGAUAGAGCGCCACUCUGACUAAGUGGGAGAUGCGGGUUCAAAUCCCGUUCGGUACG
rnacentral:tRNA from 1 species